UUCCUGGUUCUGGGUGUCCAUGUGUGGGAUUGGACCCCGGGACUUUCUUGGGGCCGCAUCCAGACCCCUUUACUGCCUGGUGCCUCCAUCUCCGGCUUCUGGGUGUGCUGUGGGCCAACAGCUCACAGCCACCCCCUUCUCUGAAUAGUUGAUUGUCCUUGGCUGAUGGGGACUGCUGCGCCCUGGAAGUUAUCACUCCCCAAACACCUGGAGCUCAUGACUGACUGGGGCUGCAGUAUAAAGGCCCAGCUCCUUUGCCUCCAAGAGAGUUGACUCGUGCUAUUCGUGCUCCGAGCUCCUCUGGAAUGAAGUUGAAGGAGUGAGAAUCCAGAAUAAUGAGAGGACAACCAACAGGGGAAGGAAGUCCCUGGGAGCGUUGGCCCUGUGCACAGCUGACAGGAGCCUGGCCUCCUCAGGAACCUACAAGGAUUUGGCUUCGGGACAGUGCAGGGCUGCAUCCACAUUGAGACGAGCUCGGUUUCCUCAGGACUGGCUGGGAGGUGCCUCCAUGGGAGAAAAAGCUGAUAUCUUGCUAGAUUGUUCAUGGACAGAUCCCAUCUGGCAAAAGCAGAAUCAUCUUCCCAACACAUGAGACGAGAACAGGCACGGGCCCGCACGCAUCUUAUCCUCCUCUGCCUGCCCAGUCCAUCAUGUUAGAAAAAUGUGCCCCUCUUCCUGUCAGAAGCCAGACGCCAGGUCAUCCAGAGGACCCCCGACAUGGUGGCUACUAAUAUACUCUUCCCACAGUGCUUCUUAAUACCAUGUGGACUCCUACAAGGGGAAUUAGCAUCACAACUUCAGUUGACUUUGUCUGGGUCCCAGGGUUCUACGAUGCCCAAACCUGGGGUACAAAGAGAGCUCAGCACAGCCGGAUCUGACCUGGAGCAUCAUGCUAAGUUUCCUCCCGAAUCAUCUACUGUACCCAGACCACACCAAGGAAGAGCACAAAGGCAGAGGAAGGCUUUGCCAUUAUAACAUCAUGGAAAGAAGAAAGAAGAAUUAUCCAACAGCAGAGGAAAGACUCCAAUUGUCCCGAAUCUCUGUACAGAAAAUGUUGACGGUGACAAUCUCCCAAGAGAAAUCAAAAUAGAACAGAACUCAGGAAACUCAGUUUGGUAUAAUCGUAAAACUUCAUUGAUGCUAAAUAAAUUGCUUGCCUUUCUGUAUACACACAACACUAUCCGAAUGAGAAAUGAAGGAAACAACCCAGUGGACAAUGACGGUAACAACACAAAGAAAAUGCCUAGGAGACCAUCUAACCCGUGACCUACAAGACUCGUAACUCAGAAAACGGGAUGAGAGACAUAUUGAUGAAAGACAAUGAAGACAACACACACCCAAAAUGGAAUGGUAGGUACUGCUCACGGACCAGAAGAGUACGUCCUGUGCAAAUGAUUCCACACUCUCGAGGAAAUCCAAGAGUUGAAGCCAUUCCUCUCAAAAUACCUGUGGAUUGUCUCAGACAAGUACAACCAAGAAUUCCCAAAUGUGUCUGGAAAUACAAAAGACCCUCGAGAGUGUCCAUACACUCUUCAGCAAGAAGUGCCGAUUUCAUAUGCCUAAGCUCCCUGAUUUCCAACUAGACUGCAAACCUACCAUCAACAGUACAGCAUGGUAUUGACACACAAGUUAUCCACAUAGAUGCAAGGAAGAGAAUGGAGAGCUCCAAAGGAAAGCCAAACUUGUGCGAUCAAAGGAGGUGAGAAAGUCUGAUAGGGACAAUAUAGCCUGUUCCAAUCAUGGUCCUGGAAAAACUGGACCACUCCAUGCAUAAGCAUCACACUGGAUUCCUUUCUCGUGUAAACCAACAACAAGAACUUCACACUAAAUCGACUACCACAAUGUCAAAUCUGAAGUCAGGCCAGGCCUAGAAGAAACCCAUAGGCAGUACAUUCUUGAACCUCAGCCUUAGAAGUAUGUCUGUUAAUCCAUCUCCUCACUAAAGAGAAACAGAAGCACAAUAAAGGCAGUUGGGGCUCCAGUUGACUGAAACGGGAUUUCGAUGGCAAAGGAAAUGCAUCUACACAAAGAAGAGAUACUGGAUCGAACGUGAGAAAACAUUGCUUUGUACACGAUGAAACUGAAGAGGUGGCUCAUCUGGAGAGCAGAUCUAGAAGUUGGAAAACUCAAGCCUUUGAGAAACAAAAAGCCUAAAGUAUGCUGAACCCAACAAUGUGUGUGUGUGUAUGUAUGUGUACCUGUAGUUAUUCUAUACAUGAUAUACCUAGAUUAUAUAUAAUAAACAUAUUCUAUAUAAAGAAUUUAUUAUAU